CCUCUCUAGUCUUUCACUCUCACCCAGUCUCUCCCUCAAUAGCUCCGAUUAGGGUUCAAACAUUAGAUCUCCCUCACUAGCUUCAUAUAUUGUCUCCUAAUGGUAAUUGAAUACACAAGCACACACAAUUUCUCCAAUUAGGGUUACUAACUUUCGAAUUUUCUCAAUUUGCAGGCUAGUUAGGGUUUCAUAAAUUGGGGCUUUUGUUUAUAAGGUAAAUACACACUUUAAUGGGGGCUUUUGACUCUUUUAGUUUCUAUAAACUGUUAUAUCUAAGAUAUUUUACUUUUUAUUUCAGGCGAUUUAAAGUUGUUGAGUUUUAAAGCGGUUUUAAGGUAAUUUCUCUGUAAUUUUAUGGGUAUAUGUUUGAUUUUAUGUGAGAUUUAUUUUUGUGUGUUAUUUAGUUAUUUGGAUGUAUUUUCAUGUAUGCUGUAUAUUAAUCUGAUUUUUUUUUGUGUUAUUUAGUUUUUUGAAUGACUCUUGCUGUUUAUGUAUUUGAGUUUUUGUGUUUUGUUUUUAAAUUUUUGAGGAGCUUAGAAUCUGAUUUUAAAUUUUUUUGUUAAAUGUUGAGGAGAUUUUCUACAGGUCUGGUGGGGUACAGAUACAGGGAAGUAGAAAAGAGAUUAUAUAAAGUUCCAUGAUGUUGAGUUUUAUAAAGUGAUUUUAUGGGUCUGGUGGGGUAGAGAUACAGGGUAUUAAUACGAGUUUCCUCUUGUUUUUAGCUUUGUACUUUCAUGUUUUAUAAACUUGGAUUCCAGAUUGUCUUGUGCUUGAUUAGUAACUAUCUUUGAGGUGAUUUAAAGCUAUUGAGGAUUUAAGUUGUUGAGGUUUGAAGUGAUUAAAGUCGAGUAAAGUUUAAAGCUGUUGAAAAUUGAAUUGAAGGUACUUUUUCGAAUUUUAUGUGUAUUUGUUUGAUUUUAUGCAUAGGUUUAAAAUUCUGGUGAUGUAUAUGCUUGCAUGAUUGAUUUUAUGUGUUGUUGAUUUCUUUUUGAUAUAUUUUUAUAUAUGUACAUGCAACAUCUACAUGUGAUGGUGAUAUCUUCUCUGGCUUGUAAAUUUCCCCUUAUAAAUUAGACUUUGUUGUUGACAUGGAGGUGUGGCUUGUUUUGCUUAAUAUAAUUGUAAUUCAGAGUAUAUAUUAUGUGUUGUUGAUUUUUUUUGUGAAUCUAUUUUUCAAGUAUGUAUUACUUUCAGCUUCGUGGCAUGAUAAUCUGUCAUUUUGUAUGCUAAUAACUUUGGUUGUUUUGUUAAUUGAGCUCGUGAAGUGUGAUACAUUGUUAAUUGGCGUUUUUCUCCGUUUGAUAGACCGGUAGACUUUAGACUAUUCUGGUGAUGUAUAGCAUGUUUCUAGCUACUUAUUAUCCCUCUAGUUCUAUUAGUAUAAAUUAAAACCUCUUAUACUAUUUUCUUAAAAACAGUACCUUACUUUUGUACAAGUUCAGAUAAAAACAUAAAAUUCAAGGCGUGAAAUAGCAAUUGUAACUAAGUACGAAUGUCAAUUAGUGUAAGUGUUUUUAAAUAAUAUAUAAGUAUGGUAUUAAUUUCAGCUUUAUAGGUGCAUUGUUCGAAUCUCUGAGGACCUAGGUUCACGAUGGAACAUGUUAAUGAUUAUAACUGGAUAGGACUUCCAAGAUACAGUAGCGAAUAUAAAGAAGCGAUAAAAGCAUUUGUGGAAAAGGCAUUUCCUCUUUUUGCCGUAGGUAAUGAAAUGAAAUGCCCCUGCAGAGAUUGUGAUGAUCGUAAGUGGAGUCAUCAAGAUGUAAUUUAUGGUCAUCUCAUCUGCAGAGGACCUUCCCUGUCACAAGUGCAAUUGAUUUGUAAGGUUUCAGAAGUCAAAGUAGGAAAUAGUAUUGAAUCUAAGGACUGUGAAGCGGGGGCUGGUUUCGGGGAUAACUUACACUACCGAUCAUGGUGAGCAACAAAGAAUUGAUCAGAGAGUUGCAUUAUCAAGAACUCAAAGAUCGAGUAGGGCAAAUCGAGUCUUCCUUACCAAGAACACGUCGUUCUUGGAAGCAACCUCUUGAAGAAGGAAGUUUGUUAAGCUGUCAUGACGGGAGAGGACACGUAAUUACUCCGCAAUACUUGUUUGCAUCAGACGGUCAGAUUACGGUUGGAGAAGAUGAUAGGCGAUUGAAAAAUACCAGGGACAACAGAGGGCCUCCUCAUCAAGAAGAUAGGCCACCAUUGAUACUCACUGCAAGAUCCACAAGAAUGAUGGACUCCUUGGCGGAUCGACUCGAGGGCAGAGUUAGCAAGGCAGAUCUACUCACCAUAAUCAGAGAACUAGAUGAUAGGCCCGAGGAGGUUAGAACUACAUCAAGAACCGCGCCCACAUGGCGAGGCGACUAUCAGAUAGGGCCACCACAUGGUCAAGAUCCAAGAAGCUAUGAAAAAUCGACGGGCCGAGAUUCUCAGGGCUUCGGUGGCAGGACUGAUCGGGACCCAGAACACAACUCGACAACAGGUUCCACUUUCUUCCCGUCUUAUAUGUUAAUGUGGUUAAAAUUUCAUACUCUGUUUCGGUCACCUAUGUUAAUGUUGGUUAUUGUUAUGAUGAAUUAUUUUAAUAGAUAUUUUUCGAUGGAUACUUAAAACCUGUUCAAAACAAAGUGAUUAUGACAUAUUGCCUAUAAUAUUUUUUUACUGGAGUUUGAUUUGAUUUAAGCAAUGUCAUUAUUUUAAGAAAAUAAAUAUAACCCCAGUUUUUAAUCAUUUCUCAUCAACUCUACAAAGAAAAUAUGGGGAAGACAAAUGGAUAUUUGUUCCUAAAAGUGUAAGUAUAUAUACAUACAUAAAGUUUGUAUUUUUUUUACCUUUUUGACCUUUAUAGAUCAUUAUAUAUUUUGUAUUGUUGUGUGCAUAUACAUGCGUGUUAUUCAACUAUUUGAUGAAUACUAUAGGUUUGAAGGGACCCGAAAAGAGUUGUAGGCUUAUGUGGGUUAACCACCUUGUAUCUAGAUGCAAUACCUGUGUAUCCAUAUAUUUCAAAUCUUGUGUGAUUGUGAUUACACAAAAACCUUUGGAAGACUCUUUGCUAGUAUUAGUUGAACAACAUGGGAGUCGGGGGAUAAGGACCCUGUCUAAAACCGGUUGUAUAUAUUAAUAAACGGCUGAAGAGAUUAAUCUUUUUGAUUCAUCUCAAGGUGAGAUGCUUUAAGGCAUAUUUUGUUUUUUUUGAGGUCAUAGGGUGGUAGUCUCUCUUGGUGCAAACUUUACUCCUCAUAUAUUGACGUGCAUCGUGUAGUAUCACUUGCAUUCUUAAUUACGACCAUUAUAUCUAGUAUUUCACCUUUAAAUAUUCAAUCUAUGCUUGAUUUCAGAAUGUCUCACUAAAUUUAAUGUCAAUCUCGAAAAGAGAGGCUAGGAUGGUAUGUGUACUUUCUAGAAGUGGUAUGGUGUCUUUUGUAACGUCAUAAGUUCCAUUGCAUGUUAAUUAUAAUGAGAUUCAUGAAGUGCCACAUCUUAAAUUUAUAAUUAUUUUUUGUAUAAAGUACAACUACAAUAGAAUAUAGACCAUAUAUUUUUAAGGAGAUAAGAUGAACUUUAGAUGAAAAUCUGGUAAGGAAAAAUUGUUUUGAUGAAUUUACAUUUGUAAUAUUAUGAUAGUAGCCGCGGCAUUUUGAGAUACUUUAUUAGUCGACAUUCUUUAUUCCUAAGGAAAAUGGUGGAACAAGCAUAGGUGGUGGUAUGAGUGUCUGGUUGGCAGGUCUAGCUGGACGUUUCAUAGGUGUAACUAUAGGUCAUCUAUGGUUUAUGUCCAUAAAAAAACCCUGUUUUUUGAAACCUACAAUUUAAAGAAAUCUUAUUAGUCCAAUUUUUACCGAUGGACUUGAAUUAGAUUUUUUAAAAGGUUAGGUUUCAAAAAUUUGGUGUUAUUUUAUUUAGAGAUUUUAAAUAAUAAACGAUCAAUAAUUCACAGAUGAAUUGAUUAAGUUUUUAUAAAAUAUUGAGAAACUCCUUUUGCAAAAGUUGUAUUCAAAGUGACACCCAUGACACGUCCAUCUCAAUCUGCCAACGAGACACUCACGCCACCAACUAUGCUUUUUGUUCCACAAUAUUCAUUAGGAAUUAAGAAUCCAGAUAAAGAAUGUAUCUCAAAACGCUCGUAUAUCCCUAUACUAACAGCUUUGAUAACUCAAAUAAAUAACAAAAUAUGAAUAAUGUCACAAUUCUCGGAAAUAUCAUUAUACAGACGAAUUUCUCGAACAUAUUACUAUAACUAACAACUAGUACUGUCGUGGAUAGUAACUCUUAUGUUGAUAUUAUUCAGGAUGGAAAAGGUUGUAUCCUUUUCGAUGGACGAAAAUACAAUGAAAAGGAAGAAGAAGAUGGUGGCGGAACUGUCAGAAAAGAUAUCGCUUUCGAUUGAUGAAAAUACAAUGAAAGGGAGGAAGAAGACGGUGGCGGAACUGCGAGAAGAGAUAAUCUGCGAUAAAAUAUUGAUGCGUCUUCCG
rnacentral:lncRNA from 1 species